rnacentral:rRNA from 1 species
GACGAACGCUGGCGGCGUGCCUAAUACAUGCAAGUAGAACGCUGAAGAGAGGAGCUUACUCUUCUUGGAUGAGUUGCGAACGGGUGAGUAACGCGUAGGUAACCUGCCUUGUAGCGGGGGAUAACUAUUGGAAACGAUAGCUAAUACCGCAUAACAAUGGAUGACACAUGUCAUUUAUUUGAAAGGGGCAAUUGCUCCACUACAAGAUGGACCUGCGUUGUAUUAGCUAGUAGGUGAGGUAAUGGCUCACCUAGGCGACGAUACAUAGCCGACCUGAGAGGGUGAUCUGCCACACUGGGACUGAGACACGGCCCAGACUCCUACGGGAGGCAGCAGUAGGGAAUCUUCGGCAAUAGGGGCAACCCUGACCGAGCAACGCCGCGUGAGUGAAGAAGGUUUUCGGAUCGUAAAGCUCUGUUGUAAGUCAAGAACGGGUGUGAGAGUGGAAAGUUCACACUGUGACGGUAGCUUACCAGAAAGGGACGGCUAACUACGUG